AAAAUUUUUCAAAAGAAAGAAAAAUCUGUUCUUAUCAGUUUAAUAUCUGAUACGUCCCCCAUCCGGGGACUACAUAUUAAAUGGAUUUUUAGAUCACGGAGCUGGAGCCGGGGCUUGCUCCGUCCACUCCAUGCAUCGGCCUGGUAUUGCAGUGUCUCCAGGAACGGUGUGCUUUCC
rnacentral:snRNA from 1 species